GGGGGGGCAAGCGUUGUUCGGAAUUACUGGGCGUAAAGGGCGCGCAGGCGGCCUGGCAAGUCCUACGUGAAAUCCCACAGCUCAACUGUGGAACUGCGUGGGAUACUGCUAGGCUUGAGUCCGGGAGAGGAGAGUGGAAUUCCCAGUGUAGCGGUGAAAUGCGUAGAUAUUGGGAGGAACACCGGUGGCGAAGGCGGCUCUCUGGACCGGUACUGACGCUGAGGCGCGAAAGCUAGGGGAGCAAACGGGGGAUUAGAUACCCCGGUAGUCCUAGCCGUAAACUUUGAGCACUUGGUGUGGCGGGUAUCGACCCCUGCCGUGCCCGAAGCUAACGCAUUAAGUGCUCCGCCUGGGGAGUACGGUCGCAAGGCUG
rnacentral:rRNA from 1 species